UGGAUCCAGACUCUGUUCAUGGCUCAGGAUAAACGCUGGCGGCGCACAUAAGACAUGCAAGUCGAACGAACUUAAUUCAUUCUUUUAGAUUGAAAGCGGUUAGUGGCGGACUGGUGAGUAACGCGUGAGUAACCUGCCUAUUAGAGGGGAAUAACAGUGAGAAAUCAUUGCUAAUACCGCAUAUGCUCACAGUAUCGCAUGAUACAGUGAGGAAAGGAGCAAUCCACUAAUAGAUGGACUCGCGUCUGAUUAGCUAGUUGGUGAGGUAGAGGCUUACCAAGGCGACGAUCAGUAGCCGGACUGAGAGGUUGAACGGCCACAUUGGGACUGAGAUACGGCCCAGACUCCUACGGGAGGCAGCAGUCGGGAAUAUUGCGCAAUGGAGGAAACUCUGACGCAGUGACGCCGCGUAUAGGAAGAAGGUUUUCGGAUUGUAAACUAUUGUCGUUAGGGAAGAAAAAAGACAGUACCUAAGGAGGAAGCCCCGGCUAACUAUGUGCCAGCAGCCGCGGUAAUACAUAGGGGGCAAGCGUUAUCCGGAAUCAUUGGGUGUAAAGGGUGCGUAGACGGGUGUUUAAGUUGGUUGUGAAAUCCCUCGGCUCAACUGAGGAACUGCAACCGAAACUGGAUAUCUUGAGUGUCGGAGAGGAAAGUGGAAUUCCUAGUGUAGCGGUGAAAUGCGUAGAUAUUAGGAGGAACACCAGUGGCGAAGGCGACUUUCUGGACGAUAACUGACGUUGAGGCACGAAAGUGUGGGGAGCAAACAGGAUUAGAUACCCUGGUAGUCCACACUGUAAACGAUGGAUACUAGGUGUAGGGUGUUUAAGCACUCUGUGCCGCCGCAAACGCAUUAAGUAUCCCACCUGGGGAGUACGACCGCAAGGUUGCAACUCAAAUGAAUUGACGGA
rnacentral:rRNA from 1 species